rnacentral:rRNA from 1 species
AGUGAACGCUGGCGGUAGGCCUAACACAUGCGAGUCGAACGGCAGCACAGUAAGAGCUUGCUCUUACGGGUGGCGAGUGGCGGACGGGUGAGGAAUACAUCGGAAUCUACUUUUUCGUGGGGGAUAACGUAGGGAAACUUACGCCAAUACCGCAUACGACCUACGGGUGAAAGCAGGGGAUCUUCGGACCUUGCGCGAUUGAAUGAGCCGAUGUCGGAUUAGCUAGUUGGCGGGGUAAAGGCCCACCAAGGCGACGAUCCGUAGCUGGUCUGAGAGGAUGAUCAGCCACACUGGAACUGAGACACGGUCCAGACUCCUACGGGAGGCAGCAGUGGGGAAUAUUGGACAAUGGGCGCAAGCCUGAUCCAGCCAUACCGCGUGGGUGAAGAAGGCCUUCGGGUUGUAAAGCCCUUUUGUUGGGAAAGAAAAGCAGCAGGUUAAUACCCCGCUGUUCUGACGGUACCCAAAGAAUAAGCACCGGCUAACUUCGUG